GAAAUGUUGGGUUAAGUCCCGCAACGAGCGCAACCCUUAUCCUUUGUUGCCAGCGAUUAGGUCGGGAACUCAAAGGAGACUGCCAGUGAUAAACUGGAGGAAGGUGGGGAUGACGUCAAGUCAUCAUGGCCCUUACGACCAGGGCUACACACGUGCUACAAUGGCGCAUACAAAGAGAAGCGACCUCGCGAGAGCAAGCGGACCUCAUAAAGUGCGUCGUAGUCCGGAUUGGAGUCUGCAACUCGACUCCAUGAAGUCGGAAUCGCUAGUAAUCGUGGAUCAGAAUGCCACGGUGAAUACGUUCCCGGGCCUUGUACACACCGCCCGUCACACCAUGGGAGUGGGUUGCAAAAGAAGUAGGUAGCUUAACCUUCGGGAGGGCGCUUACCACUUUGUGAUUCAUGACUGGGGUGAAGUCGUAACAAGGUAACCGUAGGGGAACCUGCGGUUGGAUCACCUCCUUACCUUAAAGAAGC
rnacentral:rRNA from 1 species